GCAGAUGCGGAAGAUAACGAAAAACAUUGAAGAAUAAAAUUUGCAUGUGAUUAAUUGUUUUGAUCAAAUUUCAUUACGUGUCUCGUCUUCAAUGGUUUCUAACCAUUUCUAACAAGAUUUUGAGCUUUGGGCAUGAUUUAUAGCUUACAUCGAGCGCUAUGUUUUGUUUAAAGUUCGCAUUUUUGGUACCUGUUGUUUUCGUAAUAUUUUGGAACUCGAGUUCAGUGUCAUGAAGGCGAUGCUCUAAGCGCAAAGAAAUCGACCAUACCUACAUCAACUUCUGCUAUAAACUUCACUUCACCUCAACAUACAAAAGAAGAUGAUGAAAUCGAUGUUAAAAAUGUCACAAAGUCAUCACA